rnacentral:rRNA from 1 species
GACGAACGCUGGCGGCGUGCUUAACAAAUGCAAGUCGAGCGAUGAAGCUCCUUCGGGAGUGGAUUAGCGGCGGACGGGUGAGUAACACGUGGGCAACCUGCCUUAUAGAGAGGAAUAGCCAUCCGAAAGGAAGAUUAAUACCUCAUAAUAUUGUAGCUUCGCAUGGAGCAACAAUCAAAGGAGCAAUACACUAUAAGAUGGGCCCGCGGCGCAUUAGCUAGUUGGUGAGGUAACGGCUCACCAAGGCGACGAUGCGUAGCCGACCUGAGAGGGUGAUCGGCCACAUUGGGACUGAGACACGGCCCAGACUCCUACGGGAGGCAGCAGUGGGGAAUAUUGCACAAUGGGGGAAACCCUGAUGCAGCAACGCCGCGUGAGUGAUGACGGCCUUCGGGUUGUAAAGCUCUGUCUUCAGGGACGAUAAUGACGGUACCUGAGGAGGAAGCCACGGCUAACUACGUGCCAGCCGCCGCGGUAAGAC